GUUAGGAUGUACAAGAGUAAUCGGCCACGUUCACUUGUAUUUUCGUCAAUCUGAUAAGUUUUUCAACUGAUUACUAUAGUUCGUUCUUAUGUUGUACUGGUAUACCACUGUCUUAGAUUACGGGAGGGUUGUGACCCCGCUAACAUGUUCUCCCCCACACACAAAAACAUUAUGUAUGUAUGUAUGUGCCGCCUGUCCUUAGUCAGGAGCCUGUAAUUCAGUGGUUGUGUUUGUUUAUGUGUUUCAAAUUUGUUUUUCGUAAAUGUUUUUAUAUAAAUAAGGCCGUUAGUGUUCUCGUUUGAAUUUUCAUUUCGGGGCCUUUUAUAGCUGACUAUGUGGCAUGGGCUUUUUUCAUUUUCGAAGGCCGUACGGUGGCCUAUAGUUGUUAAUUUCUGUGUCACUUGAGUCUCCUGUGGAGAGUUGUCUCAUUGGCAAUCAUACCACAUCUUCUUUUUCAUGUAUCUGCUUCAUGAUAAUCCAAACUACAAGAAACUUGGAUAUAUAGCA
rnacentral:lncRNA from 1 species